rnacentral:rRNA from 1 species
UACGGGAGGCAGCAGUGGGGAAUAUUGCACAAUGGGCGAAAGCCUGAUGCAGCAACGCCGCGUGAGCGAUGAAGGCCUUUGGGUCGUAAAGCUCUGUCCUUGGGGGAGAAAAAAAUGACGGUACCCUUGGAGGAAGCCCCGGCUAACUACGUGCCAGCAGCCGCGGUAAUACGUAGGGGGCAAGCGUUAUCCGGAAUUAUUGGGCGUAAAGAGUGCGUAGGUGGUUUUGUAAGCGCGGGGUGAAAGGCUAUGGCUCAACCAUAGUAAGCCUUGCGAACUGUAAGACUUGAGUGCAGGAGAGGAAAGCGGAAUUCCUAGUGUAGCGGUGAAAUGCGUAGAUAUCACGAGGAACUCCGAUUGCGCAGGCAGCUUACUAAACCAUAACUGACGCUCAAGCACGAAGGCGUGGGGAUCAAACAGGAUUAGAUACCCUGGUAGUCCACGCCGUAAACGAUGAGCACUAGGUGUCGGGGCCGCAAGGUUUCGGUGCCGCAGUUAACGCAUUAAGUGCUCCGCCUGGGGAGUACGCACGCAAGUGUGAAACUCAAAGGAAUUGACGG